GGGAGUCAGAGCGGGAGCAAGGGAGGGGCAGAGAGAGCGGGAGACACAGAAUCCGAAGAGGCUUCGGGCUGCCCCCAAUGCGGGACUCGAACCCACGAACCAUGAGAUCAUGACCCGAAGUGCGUCGCUUAACUGACUGAGCCACCUAGGCGCCCCAGAAAUCCUGUUGUUCUUCAGGAUCCAAAAUCCUACAAAAAGCAAAGUUAAAAACCAAGUCCCUGGCAAGAAAGUGAACACCUCCUCUUUCCCGAGAGCCCCCCACCUCUCCCCCUGUUCCCUAGCUGGGUCAGUACUUGUUUCAUGGGCAUGGAGGGCUUGCUACUUUCAUCCCCCACCAAGUCCCAAAAGGGGAAAGACCUACCACCUAGCAAGCCCCUGCCCCUCAGCCCCAUCCCCCACAUGUUGAUCCUGGUCACAGAAAGCCAAGGUAAGAAUUAUUGCGAUCCAGUAAGAGUUCUGAACCCCAGAAGGCCAUGGCCAGGGCACAGUCCAUGAAGAAUGCUUCGUCCUCCUGCUCGGUGCCCCCUUGGAACCCUGUUGGGCCCAGUACCUGGGAGUAGAGAAAGAAAUCAAUGAAAACCCAUCACCUUCAACCCAAUUGCCCCAGGAACAAGAGAAUCAAGGCUGACACAUAAGGUUGAGCAGGUUGUACGUAGCACAAAGAUGCCCCAUCUAAGCAGGCACCAUUAUCCUUAUGGACAUCGUGUAUAGGUCUUAUAUUUAUCACAGACAUUUAUUGUAAACAGGGCAAGCAGCCUCCCUGUCCCACAUUCCUGCUGUUACCACCUCACUCCCAGAGGUCAGCUGCAUACUCUCAGUCCAGGGAGAAUCAGAGGUCAGGGCUUUAUCCGGUAGCUGGUGCAGAUAAAUACAAUCAGACUUGAAGGGGCAGCGGCCAUUCCCCUGCAUGAAGAACCGACAUCGGAUCUGGCUAUGAGAGGACAGAAGAAGAGAAGACCAUUACUUCAAGCCCUGUUGCCCCAGGAACAAGGAGCACUGAAGGCUGACGCGUAAGGCUGGGUACUGUGUGCUAAGCACAUCACAUUUAUGAAUUCACUGCACCCUCACAAGACCUGAGACAGGUACUGUUAUCACUGAGGACACGGAGGUCCAGAGAGGUUAAGUGACUUAUCCAAGCCCACACAGCUACUAAGUGGCAGAGCCGGCAUUUGAGACUAGGUGGUUUGACUCCUCAGGCACCAUGAAAUUCUGCUUCUAGCACACAGACAACAACAGAGCUGGAGGGCCCCUGAUGACUCACAUGAUGGUGACGGGGACUUCCAGGAACUGCCAUCGACCUCCUCCGCCUUGCCGGCCAACCCCACCAGGCCAGGUUCCAUACCCCAGCAGGCCCCCGGCCAGUCCCAACCCACAGCCACAGAGGGCAGAUGGAUGACAUUGGAUACAUGGAAAGAAGAAUGGACUUAUUCACAUCUACCAGCUUACCUGCCAUUACUGGUCUGCCUACACAGCAAGUGUAGGACCCAAAGCAAGCAGGAUUCAGAUUUCUACCCAGAGCUACAGCCUGCCCCAGCCCAGUGCUCUGUGGUGCCUUGUAAUCAUCCUCACUGCCUGGCUUGGAAAAAAUGAGAAGCUGCUACAGGAAGAUUGAGGGCAAGUUCUUGUGGGCUGAGGGCUUUGAACACAUCCCUCAAAAUCUUGCCUGAAGGGCCAGCCUUGGAAAGGAAAGAUUCAGAAAUGACAAAAUGCAUUUGAUUUAGUGAUGUAACUUGUCUCUAAAAACAUCUUUUAAAAAUAGCUUCUGGAAUUUUUUAAAAAGUAAUUGUUUUAUUUUAAAAUGGGACUAUUUGUAAUACUUUAGAGACGAUCAUCUUUUGCAACAAUUCACAUUACCACGUAAACCAGUAGGUAACGUGAAGUGUGGAGCGGACAUGCGGUUGUCCAAAUUUCUUUUAGGAGGUUUGUGGAAGAUGCCUGGUCUGCUCUGUUUCUGCUCCCAAUUACCAUGUCGGGGGAGUAAACACGAAAAGACUGGGUUGGGGUAGGGACCAGACCAGUAGGUGACAACCAAAGUUCAGCAGGGCUGAGGAUGGGGGAGGUAGAAAAGAAGAGUCACCAUGGAAGGGGGGGGGGAUCCUAGAGCAAGAGCCAGUAACCCUCAGAGAAAGGGUUUGCAGGUCUCCUCUUCAACAAUGGAAGCCUCCAGAAGGAGAGAUGUGCUAGCAAAGGCCUUUCCCUAAAGACCACCAAUGAGGCCAACUUCCAGGACUGCCAAAACAGGGGCCACCAAACUAACUCCUGAGAGGCUCGGUGACAGGAGGUCUCCAAGCACGUCCCCGGGGGGCUCAGCCCCUUGGAUGAGGCACAAGAAAAGGGGCUAGGGGCUUUGCGAUCAAAGCCACGUUUGAGUAACUCUUCCUUCUAUAUUUUCUUCAAGCCGUGUUGUGUAUUGCUUACUGUAUGUGAACGUAUUAAAGGCUCUGGUAAGCCCCGCAAAGGAA